rnacentral:rRNA from 1 species
AUUGAACGCUGGCGGCAGGACUAACACAUGCAAGUCGAACGAGUGGCGGACGGGUGAGUAAUGUCUUGGAAACUGCCUGAUGGAGGGGGAUAACUAAUGGAAACGGUAGCUAAUACCGCAUACCAUCGGAUGUGCCCAGAUGGGAUUAGCUAGUCGGUGGGGUAAAGGCUCACCUAGGCGACGAUCCCUAGCUGGUCUGAGAGGAUGACCAGCAACACUGGGACUGAAACACGGUCCAUACGCAUACGGGAGGCAGCAGUGGGGAAUAUUGCACAAUGGGCGCAAGCCUGAUGCAGCCAUGCCGCGUGUAUGAAGAAGGCCUUCGGGUUGUAAAGUACUUUCAGCGGGGAGGCGUUACCCGCAGAAGAAGCACCGGCUAACUCCGUGCCAGCAGCCGCGGUAAUAC